GGCCAAGUUUUUAAGGGCGCACGGUGGAUGCCUUGGCACCAGGAACCGAUGAAGGACGUGGGAGGCCACGAUAGUCCCCGGGGAGCCGUCAACCAGGCUUUGAUCCGGGGGUUUCCGAAUGGGGAAACCCGGCAGUCGUCAUGGGCUGUCACCCAUACCUGAACACAUAGGGUAUGUGGAGGGAACGAGGGGAAGUGAAACAUCUCAGUACCCUCAGGAAGAGAAAACAACCGUGAUUCCGGGAGUAGUGGCGAGCGAAACCGGAUGAGGCCAAACCUACGACGUGUGAGACCCGGCAGGGGUUGCGUCGUGGGGGUUGUGGGAUCUCUCUUUCACAGUCUGCCGGCUGUGGGACGAGUCAGAAACCGUUGAUGUAGGCGAAGGACAUGCGAAAGGUCCGGCGUAGAGGGUAAGACCCCCGUAGUCGAAACGUCAACGGCUCGUUUGAGAGACACCCAAGUAGCACGGGGCCCGAGAAAUCCCGUGUGAAUCUGGCGGGACCACCCGCUAAGCCUAAAUAUUCCCUGGUGACCGAUAGCGGAUAGUACCGUGAGGGAAUGGUGAAAAGUACCGCGGGAGCGGAGUGAAAUAGUACCUGAAACCGUGUGCCUACAAGCCGUGGGAGCGUCGCGCAUCGAGUUUACUCGGUGCGUCGUGACUGCGUGCCUUUUGAAGAAUGAGCCUGCGAGUUUGCGGUGUGUUGCGAGGUUAACCCGGGUGGGGUAGCC
rnacentral:ncRNA from 1 species